rnacentral:rRNA from 1 species
UAAGCGGAGGAAAAGAAACUAACAAGGAUUCCCCUAGUAACGGCGAGUGAAGCGGGAAGAGCUCAAAUUUGAAAUCUGGUAGCCUUCGGUUGCCCGAGUUGUAAUAUAGAGAAGUGUUUUCCGUGCCGGCCCAUGUACAAGUCCCCUUGGAACAGGGCGUCAUAGAGGGUGAGAAUCCCGUCCUUGACAUGGACCCCCGGUGCUUUGUGAUACACUUUNAACGAGUCGAGUUGUUUGGGAAUGCAGCUCAAAAUGGGUGGUGAAUUCCAUCUAAAGCUAAAUAUUGGCGAGAGACCGAUAGCGAACAAGUACCGUGAGGGAAAGAUGAAAAGCACUUUGGAAAGAGAGUUAAACAGUACGUGAAAUUGUUGAAAGGGAAACGAUUGAAGUCAGUCAUGCUCUUGGGACUUACCUCCCUUGAGUGGGGUCAACAUCAGUUUUGAUCGAUGGAUAAAGGCACGGGGAAGGUAGCACUCUCGGGUGAACUUAUAGCCUCGCGUCAUAUACAUUGAUUGGGACUGAGGAACGCAGCAUGCCUUAUGGCCGGGAUUCGUCCACGUACAUGCUUAGGAUGUUGACAUAAUG